CGAUAGAGGUCGCGGAGAUUAAGAGUACCAGUCUGCUAAAGGGAAACGAGGACUGCGAAAGGAUGAUCCGCCGAAGCAUAUCAGAUGCCCAAGUCUGAUUUGCUGGGACGAUGUAAUAAGAUGCAUCGGACUGUCACGCAAGUGGAGAGCUAUCAU
rnacentral:ncRNA from 1 species